rnacentral:tRNA from 1 species
CGGGCUGUAGCGUAGCGGUUUAGCGCGCCUGCUUUGGGAGCAGGAGGUCGUCGGUUCGAAUCCGACCAGCCCGA